GUGGGGAAUUUUGGACAAUGGGGGCAACCCUGAUCCAGCCAUGCCGCGUGCGGGAAGAAGGCCUUCGGGUUGUAAACCGCUUUUGUCAGGGAAGAAAUCCUUUGGGUUAAUACCUCGGAGGGAUGACGGUACCUGAAGAAUAAGCACCGGCUAACUACGUGCCAGCAGCCGCGGUAAUACGUAUGGUGCGAGCGUUAAUCGGAAUUACUGGGCGUAACGCGUGCGCAGGCGGUUUUGUAAGAUCGAUGUGAAAUCCCCGGGCUCAACCUGGGAACUGCAUUGGUGACUGCAAGGCUGGAGUGCGGCAGAGGGGGAUGGAAUUCCGCGUGUAGCAGUGAAAUGCGUAGAUAUGCGGAGGAACACCGAUGGCGAAGGCAAUCCCCUGGGCCUGCACUGACGCUCAUGCACGAAAGCGUGGGGAGCAAACAGGAUUAGAAACCCUGGUAGUCC
rnacentral:rRNA from 1 species